rnacentral:rRNA from 1 species
CGCGAAUAGCUCAUUACAACAGCCGUUGUUUCUUGGAUCUUGUUUUACUUGGAUAACUGUGGUAAUUCUAGAGUUAAUACAUGCUAAAAGGCUCUAACCUUACGGAAGGAGCGCAUUUAUUAGACCAAGACCAAACAGGCUUUGCCUGGAAUCUGGUGACUCUGAAUAACUUUGCUGGUCACAUGGUCUUAGCACCGGUGACAUUUCUUUCAGGUGUCUGCCCUAUCAACUUUCGAUGGUAGUUUAUGUGCCUACCAUGGUGGUAACGGGUAAUGGAGAAUAAGGGUUCGACUCUGGAGAGGGAGCCCGAGAAAUGGCUACCACAUCCAAGGAAGGCAGCAGGC